rnacentral:rRNA from 2 species
GAUAGCGGAGAAAUUCCAAUCGAACCCGGAGAUAGCUGGUUCUCCUCGAAAUAGCUUUAGGGCUAGCCUCAUCAAAGUCUGCUGGAGGUAGAGCACUGAAUUGUCUAGGGGGCGUCAAAGCUUACCAAAACAUAUCAAACUCCGAAUGCCAGCCAGAUGAUUGAUGGGAGUCAGACUGUACGAGAUAAGUUGGACAGUCGAAAGGGAAACAGCCCAGACCACCAGCUAAGGUCCCAAAGUACGUGUUAAGUGGAAAAGGAUGUGGGAUUUCAAAGACAACUAGGACGUUGGCUUAGAAGCAGCCAUACAUUGAAAGAGUGCGUAAUAGCUCACUAGUCGAGAGAUCCUGCGCCGAAAAUGUCCGGGGCUAAAACACGACACCGAAGCUGUGGAAUGUAGUAAUACAUUGGUAGAGGAGCAUUGUAAGCGGGAUGAAGCCAUACCGUAAGGAGUGGUGGACUGCUUAGAAGAGAGAAUGCCGGAAUGAGUAGCGAGAGGAAGGUGAGAAUCCUUCCGGCCGAAUAUCUAAGGUUUCCAGAGUAAAGCUGAUCUGCUCUGGGUAAGUCGGGACCUAAGGCGAGGGCGAGAGCCGUAGUCGAUGGAUAACUGGUUGAAAUUCCAGUACCACAUAAAAACAGAACUGUGGGGACACAGAAGGGAAAUGGGAGCCAGGAAUGGAAACACUGGUGCAAGCGAAGUAGCCGUAUGGGAGGCAAAUCCCUCAUGCAAGGCAAAGGCGUUACGCGGACCGAACAAAAGUAGGGAAGCCCAGGCCCCCAGCUGUCAAGAAAAGCCGCUAUUGUUUUUUAUGUGCCCGUACCGUAAACCGACACAGGUGGAUGAGGAGAGAAUCCUAAGGCCGACGGGAGAAGUGUUGUUAAGGAACUCGGCAAAAUGACUCCGUAACUUCGGGAGAAGGAGUGCCAUAGCGAUAUGGCCGCAGAGAAUUGGCCCAAGCAACUGUUUAGCAAAAACACAGGUCUAUGCAAAACCGCAAGGUGAAGUAUAUGGGCUGACGCCUGCCCGGUGCUGGAAGGUUAAGGGGAGGGCUUAGCGCAUUAGCGCGAAGGUCUGAACUUAAGCCCCAGUAAACGGCGGCCGUAACUAUAACGGUCCUAAGGUAGCGAAAUUCCUUGUCGGGUAAGUUCCGACCCGCACGAAAGGCGUAAUGAUUUGGGCACUGUCUCAACAACACACCCGGUGAAAUUGAAAUACCAGUGAAGAUGCUGGUUACCUGCGCCAGGACGGAAAGACCCCAUGGAGCUUUACUCCAGCUUGAUACUGGGAUUCGGUACUGCAUGUACAGGAUAGGUGGGAGACUGAGAAUUAAGGACGCCAGUCCUUAAGGAGUCACUGUUGGGAUACCACCCUUGCAGUAUUGGAUUUCUAACCAACAGCCAUGAUCUGGUUGGGGGACAAUGUCAGGUGGGGAGUUUGACUGGGGCGGUCGCCUCCGAAAGGGUAUCGGAGGCGCUCAAAGGUCUUCUCAGAAUGGACGGAAACCAUUCGCAGAGUGCAAAGGCAGAAGAAGGCUUGACUGUGACACCGACGGGUGGAGCAGGUACGAAAGUAGGACUUAGUGAUCCGGUGGUAUAACGUGGGAUUGCCAUCGCUCAACGGAUAAAAGCUACCCUGGGGAUAACAGGCUUAUCACUCCCAAGAGUUCACAUCGACGGAGUGGUUUGGCACCUCGAUGUCGGCUCAUCGCAUCCUGGAGCUGUAGCAGGUUCCAAGGGUUGGGCUGUUCGCCCAUUAAAGCGGUACGCGAGCUGGGUUCAGAACGUCGUGAGACAGUUCGGUCCCUAUCCGGCGCAGGCGGAGGAAAUUUGAUAGGAGCUGUCCUUAGUACGAGAGGACCGGGAUGGACGGACCACUGGUGGAUCUGUUGUAUUACCAAAUGCAUAGCAGAGUAGCCAAGUCUGGAAGGGAUAAACGCUGAAGGCAUCUAAGCGUGAAGCCCCCCUAAAGAUAAGAUUUCCCAUAGAGUAAUCUAGUAAGACCCCUUGAAGACGACGAGGUAGAUAGGGCAGAGGUGGAAGUGCGGCAACGUAUGGAGCUGACUGUUACUAAUCGGUCGAGGCUUUAACCAA